rnacentral:tRNA from 1 species
GGGGAUAUAACUCUGUGGUAGAGUGGUCACCUAGCAUGUGCAAAGCCCUGGGUUUAAUCCCCAGUAUCUCUC